UACGGGGGGGGUAAGCGUUGUUCGGAAUUACUGGGCGUAAAGGGCGCGUAGGCGGCCUUCUAAGUCGAACGUGAAAUCCCCGGGCUCAACCCGGGAACUGCGUCCGAUACUGGAAGGCUUGAAUCCGGGAGAGGGAUGCGGAAUUCCAGGUGUAGCGGUGAAAUGCGUAGAUAUCUGGAGGAACACCGGUGGCGAAGGCGGCGAUCCUGGACCGGUAGUUGACGCUGAGGCGCGAAAGCCAGGGGAGCAAA
rnacentral:rRNA from 1 species